rnacentral:rRNA from 1 species
GCGGGCGCGUGCUUACCAUGCAAGUCGAACGGACUCAUAUUGAAACCUAGUGAAGUAUGAGUUAGUGGCGGACGGGUGAGUAACGCGUGGAAAACCUGCCGUAUACUGGGGGAUAACACUUAGAAAUAGGUGCUAAUACCGCAUAAGCGCACAGCUUCGCAUGAAGCGGUGUGAAAAACUCUGGUGGUAUACGAUGGUUCCGCGUCUGAUUAGCUAGUUGGUGGGGUAAUGGCCUACCAAGGCAACGAUCAGUAGCCGGCCUGAGAGGGUGAACGGCCACAUUGGGACUGAGACACGGCCCAAACUCCUACGGGAGGCAGCAGUGGGGAAUAUUGCACAAUGGGGGAAACCCUGAUGCAGCGACGCCGCGUGAGUGAAGAAGUAUUUCGGUAUGUAAAGCUCUAUCAGCAGGGAAGAAAAUGACGGUACCUGAUUAAGAAGCCCCGGCUAACUACGUGCCAGCAGCCGCGGUAAUACGUAGGGGGCAAGCGUUAUCCGGAUUUACUGGGUGUAAAGGGAGCGUAGACGGCAGCACAAGUCUGGAGUGAAAUGCCGGGGCUUAACCCCGGAACUGCUUUGGAAACUGUGCAGCUAGAGUGCAGGAGAGGUAAGUGGAAUUCCUAGUGU